UUACUUCGGCAAUGACGUUAGGAAAGCGAGCGGCGGAUGGGUGAGUAACACGUGGGGAACCUGCCCCAUAGUCUGGGAUACCACUUGGAAACAGGUGCUAAUACCGGAUAAGAAAGCAGAUCGCAUGAUCAGCUUUUAAAAGGCGGCGUAAGCUGUCGCUAUGGGAUGGCCCCGCGGUGCAUUAGCUAGUUGGUAAGGUAAAGGCUUACCAAGGCGAUGAUGCAUAGCCGAGUUGAGAGACUGAUCGGCCACAUUGGGACUGAGACACGGCCCAAACUCCUACGGGAGGCAGCAGUAGGGAAUCUUCCACAAUGGACGCAAGUCUGAUGGAGCAACGCCGCGUGAGUGAAGAAGGUUUUCGGAUCGUAAAGCUCUGUUGUUGGUGAAGAAGGAUAGAGGUAGUAACUGGCCUUUAUUUGACGGUAAUCAACCAGAAAGUCACGGCUAACUACGUGCCAGCAGCCGCGGUAAUACGUAGGUGGCAAGCGUUGUCCGGAUUUAUUGGGCGUAAAGCGAGCGCAGGCGGAAGAAUAAGUCUGAUGUGAAAGCCCUCGGCUUAACCGAGGAACUGCAUCGGAAACUGUUUUUCUUGAGUGCAGAAGAGGAGAGUGGAACUCCAUGUGUAGCGGUGGAAUGCGUAGAUAUAUGGAAGAACACCAGUGGCGAAGGCGGCUCUCUGGUCUGCAACUGACGCUGAGGCUCGAAAGCAUGGGUAGCGAACAGGAUUAGAUACCCUGGUAGUCCAUGCCGUAAACGAUGAGUGCUAAGUGUUGGGAGGUUUCCGCCUCUCAGUGCUGCAGCUAACGCAUUAAGCACUCCGCCUGGGGAGUACGACCGCAAGGUUGAAACUCAAAGGAAUUGACGGGGGCCCGCACAAGCGGUGGAGCAUGUGGUUUAAUUCGAAGCAACGCGAAGAACCUUACCAGGUCUUGACAUCUAGU
rnacentral:rRNA from 1 species